rnacentral:rRNA from 1 species
AGACGUUUUCUGCAUCCAGGAUUAGCCUAAAUCCUUCGGGAUAAGGUAUCAUGGAGGGUGAGAAUCCCGUUCAUGGUUAAUCUUAAGGAAGCUCUACGAUACGUUUUCCAAGAGUCGAGUUGUUUGGGAUUGCAGCUCAAAAUGGGAGGUAAAUUUCUCCUAAGGCUAAAUAUUGGCGAGAGACCGAUAGCGAACAAGUACCGUGAGGGAAAGAUGAAAAGAACUUUGAAAAGAGAGUUAAACAGUACGUGAAAUUGUUGAAAGGGAAACGAUUGAAGUCAGUCAUACCAACGGGAAAUCAACCUUUUGAGUUUGUCUCGUGGGUUUUGAAGAGUUUCAAAGCCUUCGGAUUCGCGGGAUUGGGAUCUCUUGGUGUACUUUUUCGUACGGUUAGUCAACAUCGGUUUUGAAUGCCGUAAAAUGACUGGAGGAAUGUAGCUUCGAUCUCGUAUUGAAGUGUUAUAGCCUUUGGUAGAUGUGAUGUUUGAGACCGAGGAUUGCAACGGAUACCCUUUAGGGCUAUUCGUCUGAUCUCUGAUACGUUGCCUUGAUGUUGAAAGCUUG